rnacentral:lncRNA from 1 species
GAGAAAAUUGAGAGAUUUCAAGAUGGCCUCUUUGCCUUUUGCCUCUCAACUUUAUUGGUAACUAAGGAAAAAAAAAGUAAGAAUAAUCUACUCAUGGUUAAAAAUUGUGUUCCUAAAUUGAGUCCAUUAAAAUACACUUUAUUUGGAUUUUUUUUUUUUUUUUUUUGCAUGGCAGUUUAACUGUAUUCUCAGGACAUGUAAAAUUAAUGUUUUACACUCAAACUAGUAAUCAUAGUAAUUGUGUAAUUGUUCAACUUUGUUACUGUCUUUUUUUUUUUUUCUCUUUUUAGGGCCACACCUGUGGCAUAUGGAAGUUCCCAGGCUAGGGGCCCAGUGGAGCUGCAGCUGCAGGCCUACACCAUAGCCACAGUAAUGUGGGAUCUGAGCCGAGUCUGCAGCCUACAUCACAGCUCACAGCAAUGCUGGAUCCUUUAACCUACUAAGCAGGGCCAGGGAUCGAACCCGUGUCCUCAUGGAAACUAGUUGGAUUUGUUACCACUGAGCCAUAGCGGCAACUCCAAAAUGAAAGAAAAUUUGAUUUGGGAAAGGACUGUGUAUUUUUCCUCUUCAUUUAUUUUUUCUUUUUUCUUAANGCAAAAAAAAUGUUUCUUCCAUGGUCUUUUCCUGUGCAUUUUUUCUUUUCCUUCUAUUUUCUGCUCAGCAAUCCUCACAUUAACUUCAUAACAUUUUUAAUGAAGAUGAUGGGAUGGUAAGUUACAAAAGAGGGGUAACUUUUUUGCCUCCUGUGUUCCACUGACGAACUCAUUGUUCUUUAUGAACCUUGUUUAGUCAUGUUCAACUUACAGAUCACAGCUUUGCAGUUAGUUUCCUGAUCCUGUGGUUUAGGUAGGACUUUGGUAUGAAAAUAUUUGGUAAGAUAUUGAAAAACCUACCAGUGUUACUCAUUGGUUGGGAGUCUUAUAAGCAUGGCGUGGGACUUGAAUGUGUGGAUUUGUGAAAAAAAUGCUUUCAUAAUACUUAAGCCUUAUGCUGAUAGACUAGCUGAUGAAUAGUUGAUGGAAAUUCACUAUUAUGGAAUUCCCUUUAGGUUGUGAUUCUCCAGUUUGCCUUUCUUAAAGAACUGAAUGAUUUUGAAGGAAAACUGGUAACAAAAUAUUUUUAGUUCAGCCUAAGUGACCAUAUUCUGCACUGCUUCUUCAGUAAGGAUUAGGAAUUUAGUAUCAGCAAGCCUUAAUAGUACUUAAGUAGCUGCCAUUGAAAAACUGUCAAUGACAGGACCUAGUCUAGAUAUGAUUGUUACAGAGAAACUCUCUCUCUUUUUUUUUUUUUUUGGUCUUUUUUUGCCAUUUCUUGGGCCGCUCCCGCAACAUAUGGAGGUUCCCAGGCUAGGGGUCGAAUCAGAGCUGUAGCUCCCAGCCUACGCCAGAGCCACAGCAACGCGGGAUCCGAGCCGCGUCUGCAACCUACACCACAGCUCACGGCAACGCCGGAUCGUUAACCCACUGAGCAAGGGCAGGGAUCGAGCCUGCAACUUCAUGGUUCCUAGUCGGAUUCGUUAACCUCUGUGCCACGACGGGAACUCCCAGUCUCUCUUUUUUUUAUAGUGAUCAUACAAGGAUUUUAUAGAGGAAACAAAAACUUGGAGUUCAAACAAUUUAUCCGACAUAAUUUCUCUUGCAAAAGAUGUAACUGGGAUUCAGAUACAUCCCUUGCUAUGUCCCAUUUUAUCUUUUAAACCACGUAAUCAUCUUUGCUUCAGUUAUUAGUAUUAAUUGAGGUUUAUUUUCAAGGCAGGAAAGAAAUUCCAAAGGAGAGUUGAAUGCAUCUUUAUGUUACCUUUGAAUUUAUAGGGUUAGAGGUACGGUUACUUAAGUUGAGUGAAGAAAUCUGUAAAUGGCCAUUUACUUAGAAUGCUACUUUUAAGUCAAGAUUGAAAGCUGAGAUACUGUUUAAUGUUUAAAUGUUUUCUACAAAAUAUACAUUUGAUAUAAUAAUUACAUUUCAGCAACGUCUUUUCAGUUGAGUUGCUACAUUAUUGUGCUUUAAUAUUUAAAUUUUAUUUUAAUCUUUCCAGAUUUUAGUUAGCAUUUGAAAUUUGUAGUAUUCAAUAAAAGGAUUGUUGAAUUAUGUAAGCUGUUUGUUUUGCUGAUUAAUUUUGAGGCAGUAUUUUCUAAAUAGAGCAACACUGUAAGUGGCCUUAGUAUAUUUUUCAUCUAACGUCUGCUUAUUACUUAACUGUGCUAGCAGUAGCUAUCAUGGAAAUUACAUCCGUCUUUUGAAUUUCUGGAGAAUUAAGAGUUUUUCCUCUUGUAAUAUUUAACAUCCUUUUUUAAUGUUGUUUAUAUUGAUUUUCUAAAGUUAAAGAACAAUAAAGAAGCCAGUCACUUAGGUUUGCUAAAUAAAUAAUUAAUUAGAUUCUUCCAGGAAAACCUGUAAGUACAGAACGAAGAAUUUUUACUCUUGAGUAUUUGCCCUAUUUUGUUUUAGUUAACUUAAAAAAUAAAAGGACUGGACCUUG